rnacentral:rRNA from 1 species
GACGAACGCUGGCGGCGUGCUUAACACAUGCAAGUCGAACGGAAAGGCCCUGCUUUUGUGGGGUGCUCGAGUGGCGAACGGGUGAGUAACACGUGAGUAACCUGCCCUUUACUUUGGGAUAACUUCAGGAAACUGGGGCUAAUACCGGAUAUGAGCUCCUGCUGCAUGGUUGGGGUUGUAAAGUUUCGGCGGUUGGGGAUGGACUCGCGGCUUAUCAGCUUGUUGGUGGGGUAGUGGCUUACCAAGGCUUUGACGGGUAGCCGGACUGAGAGGGUGACCGGCCACAUUGGGACUGAGAUACGGCCCAGACUCCUACGGGAGGCAGAAGUGGGGAAUAUUGCAAAAUGGGCGGAAGCCUGAUGCAGCAACGCCGCGUGCGGGAUGACGGCCUUAGGGUUGUAAACCGCUUUCGCCUGUGACGAAGAGUGAGUGACGGUAAUGGGUAAAGAAGCACCGGCUAACUACGUG